CGGACGGGUGAGUAAUGUCUGGGAAACUGCUGAUGGAGGGGGAUAACUACUGGAAACGGUAGCUAAUACCGCAUAACGUCGCAAGACCAAAGAGGGGGACCUUCGGGCCUCUUGCCAUCGGAUGUGCCCAGAUGGGAUUAGCUAGUAGGUGGGGUAACGGCUCACCUAGGCGACGAUCCCUAGCUGGUCUGAGAGGAUGACCAGCCACACUGGAACUGAGACACGGUCCAG
rnacentral:rRNA from 1 species